AUGUUUGCUUGUAUGAAGCUGUUCUGGUGGGCUUAUUUAAAAUUGCCAGGGCAUUCAGAAUGCAUGAGAUUUAAUGUUCUGUGUUCUCCAAAGGUAAAACAAAAUAAAACAAUAAAUUUAUUUGCCUUUCUUAUCUUCUCUUUCAGCACUCUUCCUCCUUUGGAGAAAAAAAAUCACUCUUUCCAAAUUGAAGCAGAUAGGAUGGAGAGUUUAAUAGGUGUCUUUCUAAUAUUAUGUAAGAUCCAUGAGUCAGGGACCAUAUCUUGCUCUGUCACAUCCCUAGAUUUUAAGAAGAGUGUGUUAUACAUAGAGAUGUUUCCUUAAAUAUCUUUUGAAUAAAUUUUGGUGGUAUGCAUUGUUACACUUAUAUCAUACAUAUGCUCUUAUCCCAUUUAAAUUAUUUUACCACAACUGUAAAAAGUAGAUCUACCUAAACAAUUCAAAUCAAUUUUUUUCCUGAACUUAUAAUUUUGCAUAUUGAAAAUAUUGCAGGUUGUUAUUAAACAAAUUUUUACUUUUUUUUUGACAGAUGACUAAACUGAGGUUUAGGAAGAAAAUUGAGGUAAUUAGCCCAAAGCCUUUCCUAAAGUAAUUGGCAGAAUCUGGAUUCAGUCCCUGGUCUAUAUAGAUUCUAAGUCCUAAUUCUGUUCCCUGUAGAAAACUUCAUCCCCAUUUGAUUAUUCUAAAUUUUUUUCUCUCUUAAAAUAUGUUCUUUAAAUGCAAAUUCAUUUUACUGAACAGUUUUCUUGAAUUGAGUUGUCCUUUAUGUAUCAUCAUUGUAGUACCCUUAUAUUAGAACUCUUACUAAUAGUGAAUGUAGAGAAGAAAGGAAGAGAUUAUGAAUAGAUAACCAUAUUUUAGAAACAUUCAUUGGUAAAGACAAUUCUCUGGAACUUUGCAGAACUUUGUAUUAACCCAAAAAAGGUGAAGAGAUGGUACCUAUAAUUUCUGUAAGUUAUAAUCAUCCUUCAGUCCUGUCCCAUGUGCAGCAAUUUAUAUGACCAAAAGAAAAAAGAAAGGUUUGAAGAAAUGAGACUUAGAUUUUAAAUGACAAAUAGACCUGAGAAUUUCUCCAACUGGGUGAAAUCAUAAACCAAUGACUGGGAAGGUUGAGAAAAGGCCUCUCUACUCUACAUAGCAGUGCUAGAACGACAUCCAAAAUGGUGAUAAAUUGUUCCUUCAUCAUAUUCUAACAGACACAGUUUCUGUGAAGAAGUAUAAAAUAUUUUUCCUCCUGUAAAACAACAGUGUCUAGUAAUUAACAGGCACCCUACACUGCAGUUUGAAUAAGGAAAAAAGUAAUAGGAGCAGGCUGAUGAAUCUUAGCAGACAUUCUUUGAUUCCAUGGCUAUGUAUAAUAUAAUAACACUUAAAAAGCUGUAAUAACAUUUAAAAAGCAGCAUCUUCUACUGCUUACUAGCAAUAUGACAGAACAUACAUAAGCAGAAAACAUAAACAUGAGUAUAACUGAUUUAGAAGAUAAAUUGUUCUACUAUAAGGACACAUGCACACCAAUGUCCAUUGCAGCACUGUUUACAAUAGCAAAGACCUGGAACCAAUCCUAAUGCCCAUCGAUGAUAGACAGGAUUGGGAAAAUGUGGCACAUAUACACCAUGGAAUAUUAUGCAGCCAUCAAAAUGAUGAGUUCAUGUCGUUUGUAGGGACAUGGAUGAAUCUGGAGAACAUCAUUCUCAGCAAACUGACACAAGAACAGAAAAUGAAAUGCCGCAUAUUUUCACUCAUAGGCGGGUGUUGAAAAAUGAGAACACAUGGACACAGGGAAGGGAGCACUACACACUGGGGUCUAUUGUGGGGAAUAGGGGAGGGACAGCGGGGGGGCGGGGAGCUAGGGAAGGAUAGCCUGAGGAGAAAUGCCAAAUGUGGGUGAAGGGGAGGAAGGCAGCAAAACACACUGCCAUGUGUGUACCUAUGCAACUGUCUUGCAUGUUCUGCACAUGUACCCCAAAACCUAAAAUGCAAUAAAAAUAAAUUAAAUAAAUAAAUAAAUAAAAUAACAAAAAAUUUCACAGAUAACAAAAAAAGAAGAUAAAACACAAGAACAAGGGCUUUCAAAGUCAAGUCAAUGAAAAUAUUGAUAACUGAAGUGAUUUUGCACACAAAAGUCAGAUAUUUUAUGGACCUUGGAGCCACAGUGUUUUGCUAUUUCAGGUAGGAAAUAAAUAGUAUUUCUAAGGACCCUCAGUCCUAAAAGUCUCUGCAUCUCUAUUACUUAAUGUAAUAAUGACACAUAACAGUUACCCAAUCAAUGCUUCUGGGAAAUCAAAUGAGUUUCAAAGUUCAUAAUGAUGGAGUCCCUUGUUUAGUGAGUUUAAUAGACUAUAGAAAUGAAUUUGAACAUCGGAUCUGUACAUCUAAGAUAUUUUAGCUGGUAGAGCUGAGUAUCACACAGUAAUAAUCUCUUAUGCAUAUGGUAGUCAUUUGGAUAAUGCAAAAAUAUCAGUGGCUCCCUCAAACCCCAGAGAUUCUGAUUCAAUUGUUCCAGAAUAGGACAUGGGCAUCAGUACUCUUAAAAGCUACCCAAGUUAUGGUGCUGUGCAUACUACUGGAAUUAAACCAAACUGCCUGCGCUACUAAUUUGAUGGUCAUAAGUGUCACCUGUAAGUAGUAAAUAGUCAUCAUUGGGCAUUUAUUUCCAGGAGAAACCUAAGGAGACUCAAUAUUUUAGUUAUACUGACUCUACAAGGAUGCAUAUAUAUUUUAAAGACUGACUUAGUAAAGAUGCAUCAUCUGAGUCUGCUAAUUUAUUUAGCAAAUACAUAUUGAGUGCCUAGUAUGUGUAGGCAGAGUCGUGGCCCUGGGAAUACACCAAAGAGAGAGGUAGUCAAAGUCCCUACUAUAAUGAAAGAGAGAAUAUUCCUCCUCAUACCAAAGUAUUCAAGUGUGAUUGAAGGGACUACUACCCUCCCCACCACCCUACUACCUCCCAAAAAAGAAAGCAGUAGACAUUGGGAAUAUAUAACAAGAACAGCCCUAGAUAUAUCAGCCCCUAGAUUAGGGGCUCAGAAUAGGUCUUGAGAGAAGACCUGAAAUUGGAAGGACCAGCGGAGAGGGCAUUUUUAGGCAAGGGUAUAUAUUAAAAAGACAAGAGCAGGUAGCAAAAGUUUUUGAGGUUGAAAAACUGUAGGUCAUUGUGCUUGAAGCAUAAAGAGUGAAGGGCACACGACUUUUAGUUGAAGCUGGUGAGGUAUGUUUAGUCAGAUCAUGAGAAUGGAUAGCUAUUCAUUCAAAAGAUUUAACUUCCUGAACAGUUGCCAAUUCUGUCCAGUUUUCCAAUUCACUCUAUUUAACUCUCUCUCUACCAGCCGUUACUAGCAUAAUCAAAGCUACCCUAUCUCUCUCCUAAUUUCUCCUGUUUAUUCUUUUACUGAAAUCAGCAUAAUCUUUUGAAAAUAGGUAAAAAUGUUAUGAUUUCAUGCUACUGCUUGAAAUCUUACAGUAAUUUCUUAUUGAUGAGGAAAAUAUUCAGAGCUUAUUAUGGACUUCUGUCAUCUGACUCUCUCUCUCUCUCUCUCUCUCUCUCUCUCUCUCUCUCUCUCUCAAAUCAUCAUGUCAUCACUUGCCACUCUUCCACCUUGCUACAGCCAUAUUGAAUUUCUUUCAGUUGUUCCAAUUUGCCAGACUUUCUCACACAGUUUUUCUCCUCUGCCUGCUUGUCAUGUGAAAUUUAACUUGCUUAUCUGAAAAUGUACUGUGUGUAGGUUUCUUUGUCCCAGCUAGACUAUAAACCAACAUGUAUCCUAAUAUAGACUGGUCCAUAAGAGAAAGGGGUAAUUGCACUAGAGAUCCUCUACUAAAAACUCCUGGGCUGGUCAAGUGAAUAAGCUUUUCUUCAAUAAUUUUUAAUGGAAAAUUAAAGUUUUUAAUAGCACAUGGCAUUUUUAUUCCACAUGUAACAAUAAUUUUUUUAAAAAUUAAAUGGCUUGUGAUAUGGUUGUGUCUAACAACUGAGGGUCUCUUUCUGAGCU
rnacentral:lncRNA from 1 species